UACGUAGGGGGCAAGCGUUGUCCGGAAUCAUUGGGCGUAAAGCGCGUGUAGGCGGCUCGAUAAGUCUGCUGUGAAAGUCCAGGGCUCAACCCUGGGAUGCCGGUGGAUACUGUCAAGCUCGAGUCCGGAAGAGGCGAGUGGAAUUCCUGGUGUAGCGGUGAAAUGCGCAGAUAUCAGGAGGAACACCAAUGGCGAAGGCAGCUCGCUGGGACGUGACUGACGCUGAGACGCGAAAGCGUGGGGAGCAAACAGG
rnacentral:rRNA from 1 species